rnacentral:lncRNA from 1 species
GCGAGCGGCCAGGCUGCGGGCGGGGUGGGCUGGCGCUCCUGAUCCACCUGGAACACUUUUGCAAAGACAGACGCGGUUCCUCCUACUUCAGAGCAAGUCUGGGCCAGCUGGGAUCCGACCAGAAAUCGCAAGCGGAGGAGACGCAGUAGCGCAGGCUGAGCGCUAACUGAAGGCGCGACCUGAGCCCGGCGCCUGCUGGGGAGCUGCGCAGCCAGGACAGCGGUCGGCAGCACAGGGCCUGGGCGCAGGGCCCGCCGUCACCACCUCACGUCGGAAGCCAGCACUGCUGCCCGCCAGCCCUGCCGCCUGCCCUCGGACUUCCCAGGGCGCCCAGGGUCCUCCCAACGCGCCUGCACCCACACCCGCCCCUGAGCCACAGUGACCUUGCAUUCCCCGCCCCCUGCCACACCUCCUGCGUGCCCGAGUGUCACCCUUAAAUACCGCUCUACACCCAGAGAGGGACGAAUACACCUCUGAAGACAGGGCAAGACUAAUUUCAAUGGGUCAGAAGGUUCUUGCAGGCACUGUUUUAUUUAAGAGUGCCUAUUUACUGGCAGGAGUAUUUGUGUGGGAGGAAGUAGGCUAAGACUGCUGUUGAACUUGAAGCUAAACUUGAAUGCCAUUUAAAAUAACAAUAAAAAUAUACUUAAAACACCAA